AACCCAGCUACAGUUAUGGAAAACUAUCAUACAGUUUCUAUUUGCAAAAUGCUUUGAAGGAACAGAAGGCUAUUUAGGAACAGUUAUUAUUGGAAUGAGUGGGGAGAACAUUCGAGAUGAAGUAGACGUGGAAGUCAGUGUAGUUCAUAUAUUUGCAUCGAGUUCAGUAACUGCAGAAAACGUAACUGACAUCAUUUCUCAAUAUGAAAA